rnacentral:lncRNA from 1 species
CCCGGAUAUACCAACUCUAGUUGGGAUGGGGGGGUUGUAGUGGGGUGGGGGUGGAAUGUGAGUAAUUGCAGCUUGCAGCAUGGAGGAGUACACAUUGCUAACAGGGUGACACAAGCAAGGAAAGUCAAUCAUUCCCCGGGGUCGACGACAGGGGAGAGAGAGUGUCAGACGGGAGAGGAGGUUGUCCUUGAUUGGUUCAACAGACACAUCCGAUCGCUAAAUCAUCUACACUCUUAGAAAAAAGGGUUCCAAAAGGGUUCUGCUGCUGUCCCCAUAGGAGAACCCUUUUUGGGAAGGGAAAGGGUAUAUCUAGUCAGUCGCACAACUGAAUGCAUUCAACCAAAAUGUGUCUUCCGC